ensembl:snRNA U6 U6 spliceosomal RNA
GCUUGCUUCAGCCAUACAUACAAUAAAAUUGGAAAAAAGAAUAUCAUGGCCCCUGCACAAGGAUGACAUGCAAAUUCAUAAAGCAUUCCAUAUUCGA